CAAGGUUAAAAGAGCACUGGGAUUUAUCAGUACUUUAUUUAUUACGUUUGUAACAGGAUGGUGCCACAUCAUACAGUGUGUGAGGUAAUAAUGAGCGAGGUACUGUAAACAAUGGUCCACAGAUGAUGAAACAAGCCUGUGGGUGGUGCAGCAUCAUACAGUGUGUGAGGUACUGUAAAC